rnacentral:rRNA from 14 species
AUCCGCCGGGGGUUUAGUCGGUACCUUAGGUGAAGCCGAAAGGCGUAGCCGAUGGAAAGCGGGUUCAUAUUCCUGCACCACCAUAGGUUUGUUUGAGUGAUGGAGUGACGUGGAAGGGUAGAUGAGCGGAGUGUUGGUUUCCGUUUCUGGUUGUAGGCUUUGAGGCUGGCAGGAAAAUCCGUCAGCUGAGCGGAGGGCUGGAGCGAGCGAUCCUACGGGUGAGCGAAGUCAUUGAUCCCAUGCUACCGAGAAAAACUUCUAAACGAGAACCUGUGGUGACCGUACCCUAAACGGACACACGUGGAUAAGGUGAAUAACCUGAGGCGCUUGAGAUAACUCUUGCUAAGGAACUCGGCAAAAUUGCCCCGUAACUUCGGGAGAAGGGGCGCCCCCCUGAGUGAAGGUCCUGCGACUGGAGCUCGGGAGGGCCGCAGUGAAAAGGGGGUAGCGACUGUUUAUCAAAAACACAGGUCUCUGC